rnacentral:rRNA from 1 species
AAUCAACGCUGGCGGCGUGCCUAACACAUGCAAGUCGAACGAGAAAGUGGAGCAAUCCACGAGUAAAGUGGCGCACGGGUGAGUAACACGUGACUAACCUACCCUUGAGUGGGGAAUAACCUGGAGAAAUCUAGGCUAAUACCGCAUAACACCUACGGGUCAAAGGAGCAAUUCGCUUAAGGAGGGGGUCGCGGCAGAUUAGCUAGUUGGCGGGGUAAUGGCCCACCAAGGCGGUGAUCUGUAUCCGGCCUGAGAGGGCGCACGGACACA